UUGAGGACCUAAACUAACUAUCGGUGAUCAGGAAGGCCGAUGGCCUAGGGAGAGCACAUUUAUUGCACUGAGAAGGGGGCUCUGCCUAGCAUCUCCCUACGCGGAGAGUGCACGUCAUAAUUUGUGAAAGCGGGGGCUUGCGUCUGCGUGGUCCCCAA